rnacentral:lncRNA from 1 species
GUUCCCAUAAGAAGACCCUGCAACUCCACAGCGAGUGUGCCUGGCAAUGAUUGUACCACUGCUUGAGUGCCUACACAAGGAAAAGUGAAUCGCAGUAACAUGGGGACCUUCAGAGUUCUCAGAGGUUCUGCAGAGAGAACAAAGAACUGGAUGCAUUUGAGGAUGAAAGUGGAAAAGAAAGGAGCAGGCCACGUUAUUACAAAAUGUUAAGUAAUCAUUCCUGCCAAGAAGAAUCUUCAAGCCUGAGUGAUG